rnacentral:rRNA from 1 species
GACGAACGCUGGCGGCGUGCUUAAUACAUGCAAGUCGAACGGAAAGGCCCUGCUCUUGUGGGGUGGUCGUGUGCCGAACGGGUGUGUAACACGCGAGUAACCCGCCCUUGUCUUUGGGAUAACAUCAGGAAACUGCGGCUCAUACCGGAUAUGAUCUCUUGCUCCAUGGUGGUGGUUGGAAAGUUACGGCGUUUGGGGCUGGGGUCGCGGCUUAUGCGCUGGUUGGUGAGGUAGUGGCUGACCAAGCCUUUGACGGGUAGCCUGCCUGGGAGGGUGACCAGCGACAUUGCGACUGAGGUACGGCGCAGUAGCGUACGGGAGGCAGCAGGGGGGAAUAUUACACAGUGGGCGGGAGCCAGAUACAGAAACGCUGCGUGCGUAAUGACCGGCUUCUAGUUGUGAACCGAUUUCGACGGUGACGAGGCGUGAGUGACGGUAAUGAGUAAAGAAGCACCGGCUAACUACGUG